AGUCUUACACCAGCAGAGACCCUGUUAAAUGAUACAGAAUUCUGAGAAAUGAGGUGAGAGAAUUGUGCUUGACUCUGGGACUCCUUGAAGCUCCCUUGGUGGUGCAGACUUGGGCAGGCAGCUCCCUGUCUCCACUAUCUGUCCAUCUGAACUUUGCUCUGGAAGGUCUUCUCUUGACUUGAAAGAAGACCCUGAGCAGAGAGUAAACAGGUUGCACAAUUUCAAAGAGGAGGUUCUUCCAAAAGUAUGUAACAGGCUCAGCUUGGGCUCCGCAGGUAUUUUCUCUUCCCAGCUGGUCAGCAACACAUUGCCUGCAGAGCUCCACAGGCCACCCACAACCUCCCCAUGGAUCCCCUCGGAGCAGCAACCCUUUUCCUGGUCAUCUGCCUCUCUUUCCUGAUGGUCCUCUCAACAUGGCGGCAGAUGCACCGCAAAAGCCAGAUGCCACCUGGACCAACUCCCCUCCCCUUCAUCGGGAACCUGCUCCAAGUCAACACAAGCGAUAUGUACCGUUCAUUCAUGAAGAUUCAUGAGAAAUAUGGUCCUGUCUAUACCAUCCACUUAGGGCCCCGCCGUGUUGUGGUCUUGUGUGGAUACGAUGCCGUGAAGGAGGCCCUGGUGAAUCAAGCCGAAGAGUUCAGCGGCCGUGGAGAGCAAUCCGCAUUUGACUGGAUUUUCAGGGGUUACGGAGUUGCCUUCAGUAACGGGGAACGGGCCAAGCAGCUACGCCGAUUCUCCAUCAUGACGCUGAGGAAUUUUGGGAUGGGAAAGAGAUCCGUCGAAGAGCGGAUCCUGGAGGAGACCCACUUCCUGCUGGAAUCCCUGAGGGAAACAAAAAGUGCGCCUUUUGACCCCACCUACGUCCUGAGCCGUUCAGUGUCCAAUGUCAUCAGCUCCAUCGCCUUUGGCAACCGCUUUGAAUACGAAGAUAAGGAGUUCCUCUUCUUGCUCAGCACUUCGCUGGAAAUCUUCCAGUUCACUGCCACCUCUUGGGGACAGCUCUACGACAUGUUCUCGGGCAUCAUGCAGCACCUGCCUGGCCCACAAGAUAAAACUUUCAAGAAGCUGUUGGGCCUGAAGGAAUUCAUUAAAAGGAAGAUAAAAGAAAACAAGGAGACCCUUGACCCCAACAACCCUCGGGAUUUCAUUGACUGCUUCCUAGUGAAAAUGCAGCAGGAAAAGGAAAACCCAAACUCAGAGUUCUUCCUAGAGAAUCUGGUUUGUACAACAGCUAACCUCUUCUUCGGCGGCACAGAAACGGUCAGCACCACUUUGCGCUAUGGCUUCCUGCUUCUGCUGAAAUACCCAGAGGUUGAAGAGAAAGUCCACGAAGAGAUUGAACGGGUGAUUGGCUCCAGUCGCACUCCCAACAUGGAUGACCGUCCCCUGAUGCCCUACACGGAUGCUGUGAUCCACGAGAUCCAGAGAUUUGCUGACAUGCUCCCCUUGGGGUUAGCAAGACGUGCGACCCGCGAUACCCAGUUCCGGGGAUACACCAUUCCCAAGGGAACUGAAGUGUUUGCUUUGCUGGGAUCUGUGCUGAGAGACCCCAAACAUUUUGCAAGACCCGACGUGUUUGACCCCCAACAUUUCCUGGAUGAGAAUGGGCAGUUCAAGAAGAAUGAGGCUUUUAUGCCAUUCUCUACUGGAAAACGCUAUUGCUUUGGAGAGCAGCUGGCCCGAAUGGAACUUUUCCUCUUCUUCACCAGCAUCCUGCAGAACUUCCACCUAAAAUGCCCCAUCCCUCCUGAAAAGAUUGACAUCUCUCCCAUGCUGGUUGGCUUUGCCACCGUUCCACGUUUUUAUGAAAUGUGUGCCAUUCCCUUGUGAAAGAGGAGGACAGGUGUCUUGAACAAACAGAGCACUGUUGUCACCCACCUUGGCUGCCCCAAAUGCAAAAGCUGGAGAAAGCUUGAACUCUUGAAGGGCCAGAACAGGUUGGCCCUUCCUCCUCCAGAAUCUUUCUUUUCAAGCUCCAUGAUUUCUGUUUCCGUUGGUAGAAUUUAUCUUCUCUGCAUUUUCUUGGAAUUGAUCUCACAGGUCCAUAAAUAUCUGGUCCCUGGCUCUCUGCCCUCUUCCUCCCCUACCCCACUUCCCUGAGGUACCAGGGUUGAGUCCCUCUCAUCUUCCCCCUUUCUGGUCACCAGACUCCCUUCUGGCACCUAGUCCAACUCUGAAGUCUUUAUUUCCAUGCCAUGUUCCCCUCCCUUUCCUAUCUUUGUUCUUCCACUUGUGAUAUGUUUGCCAACAUUCCUUUGCUGACACUUUCAUCGUGAGUAGUUAAGGAAGAAUUGUAGUUAAGGAAGAACCUGUGGGAUAGGGGUCAGGAUGAUUUGGGGGUGCUUGCCGAGAUAACAGCCCGGGAUUCCAGCCUGUCUUUACGAGAUUUAUUAUGUCCAAAACUAUGCUAAUAUAUUUCAGUAAGAUUUCUCUAGGGUAUCCUGCCCUAUUGGCCUGAUUUAUGCCCGCUCAUGUCCUUCAUUCUAGCAGAAGGUUCUGCCUGCCCACAGCGGCUAGAGAGCAGCUGCCAUGUUUAUGGAGAGCAAAGAAGUUGGUGUAAUGGAUUCUUCCAUUCGUCCUGCAAAUAAGGCAUUUAAAAAUAAAUAAAUCUAAUUUUCAA